rnacentral:lncRNA from 1 species
GGAUUAGAAACAUGUUGCCUGGCUGGGCAAGAUUUUGACAACUUCAAGUAACUGCGGAUACUUUUGUUCAGUCAGUGUAACCACUCCAAACUUGGUCCCAAUUUGGUCCCUGUUACUGUAUCCCACACAGUACAAAGGACUGAAAACUCUAUUUGAAGAGCAUCUCCUCCAGGUCUAGCUCCUCCUGGGUCCGUUUCUCCUGGUGACUUUGGCCUCUUGUGAAAGGCUAGCCCUCUUUUAUAAUAAGCACAAGUAGAUUCCACACACAGGGUUCCAAAAGGAGCAAGCAGGCCAUUGGUACUCGACUCUAGUUGACAUUGUUUAGGCGGGGCUGAGAGUAGGUUUGCGAUUUACUUAUGUUUGCCCUUUCUUCUCUGUUGAGAAAAUUUUUUUUUUAAUGUUUAUAGGUGUUUUGUCUGUGUUUUAUGCCUAUCUGUGCAUCACUUAUAUGUCUGUGGAGACCAGAAAAGGGUAUCAGAUCCCUCAGGACUGGUGUUUAGACAAUUGUGAGCUGACGUGUGGGUGCUGGGAAUCGAACCAAGGUCCUCAGGGUUCUUAACCACUGAGCCAUGUCUCCAGCCUGAAAGUUUGCAUUUUAGAAGUGAUCUGGGGGAUGCCGAGCCUUUUUGGUCAGGGGGAAUGGUUCAGCAAUGAAGUCAUCUUCUGACUUCUGUGUGGUUUCCAGACCUUUCCUGGUCACUGUGUAGAUCAAAUCCAUUGUCACAGUUCAGUGGAAUAAUAGUUGAGGACUCCUGACUGGGUGCAAACCCUGCCAGCAUUGGUGGGAUAACAGUCCACACCUAAAUGAACACCAAGGUCCCCUUCCCUCUCCACAGCCACACCUGGGGCUAAAGCUACAUUCUCCAUUUUCCACUAAAGGAAACAUUGCAAAACCUGAGUCUGAGCUUCCUAAACUUGUCUGUUUUCAGAACUCUGUGAGUGUGUGUGUGUGUGUGAGUGUGUGUGUGUGUGUGUGUGUGUGUGUGUGUGUUGGGAGAAUCCUGGGAGGGGCCCACUGUAAGAGACACAUAGGCUAGAGAAAGAGGGAGGAAGAGAGAGGGAAAAGGAGGGGGAGGGAGCACUCUGCCCUCGGUUGCUUCCAGCCCUCCCUUCCUCCCAUUUUUUGGCUUCUCAGCAUCUCUGUCGCAUCUAGAGUCACAUGUAAUGUGUUAAGGGCAAGCUGCCUUCGUCAUUCCCCAUUCUGGAAGAAAGAGUCUUCCUGUGGACUUAUGUCAGGAAGUCAGUCCUACUCCCACUACUGGUGAUGCUCCUCUGCCAGUGCCACGUCCUCCAGGAAGUCUUCCUAAUGUCCCCACUAGAACCAUUCUCUGCUCUGCUCCACUCCGGUGGCUCUGCAUGGCACCAUCUUCCC